rnacentral:rRNA from 1 species
AACGAACGCUGGCGGCAUGCCUAACACAUGCAAGUCGAACGAGACCUUCGGGUCUAGUGGCGCACGGGUGCGUAACGCGUGAGAACCUGCCCUUAGGUUCGGAAUAACUCCCCGAAAGGGGUGCUAAUACCGGAUAAUGUCUUCGGACCAAAGAUUUAUCGCCUUUGGAUGGGCCCGCGUUGGAUUAGCUAGUUGGUAGGGUAAAAGCCUACCAAGGCGACGAUCCAUAGCUGGUCUGAGAGGAUGAUCAGCCACACUGGGACUGAGACACGGCCCAGACUCCUACGGGAGGCAGCAGUGGGGAAUAUUGGACAAUGGGCGAAAGCCUGAUCCAGCAAUGCCGCGUGAGUGAUGAAGGCCUUAGGGUUGUAGAGCUCUUUUACCCGGGAUGAUAAUGACAGUACCGGGAGAAUAAGCGCCGGCUAACUCCGUG